rnacentral:rRNA from 1 species
AGGAUGAACGCUGGCGGCGUGCCUAAUACAUGCAAGUCGAACGGAUCCUUCGGGAUUAGUGGCGGACGGGUGAGUAACACGUGGGAACGUACCCUUUGGUUCGGAACAACUCAGGGAAACUUGAGCUAAUACCGAAUGUGCCCUUCGGGGAAAAGAUUUAUCGCCAUUGGAGCGGCCCGCGUCUGAUUAGCUAGUUGGUAGGGUAAAGGCCUACCAAGGCUACGAUCAGUAGCUGGUCUGAGAGGAUGAUCAGCCACACUGGGACUGAGACACGGCCCAGACUCCUACGGGAGGCAGCAGUGGGGAAUAUUGCACAAUGGGCGCAAGCCUGAUGCAGCAACGCCGCGUGAGGGACGACGGCCUUCGGGUUGUAAACCUCUUUAGUAGGAAGAAGCGAAAGUGACGGUACCUGCAGAAAAAGCACCGGCUAACUACGCGCCAGCAGCCGC